GUGGGCCCUACAUAUCCUUUACACUGCUACAAAACACACACAAAAACGUUUCUUUUUAAGAAAUUUUCACACUUUGGAGUAUCUUUUAAAAGCAAAAGUAGUUUCAGCCAUUGAUGUCACCUUGAACUCUCGGCCAACUCUAAUUUUUUUUUUUUUUUUGGAGAUAAUUCAAGAUUCUGAUCAAGAAUUUUAAGAACUCAAGAGUGCAAGUGAGGCUUCCUUCCACUUAGGGAGAUUAAAUCCCAUUGUGUGCUGGUUUGGGAAGUUUUGUAGCUUAAGGAGAUUGAGGAAAGUUAUACAGGAGUUUGACUAUAGGAUGUUCCAGGCUAUCAACUGGAUUGGUAAACUCCAUUCUGUUCGGAGUGAUGCCGCGUCGGAUUAUUUCCUUAUGAGUUGAGUCAUAUGCAUUAUGGGUAUGUUGGGGCCCUGUCCCAACUUAGGUUUUGAUAUCAUAUCUUACCUUAGAGGCUUUUGCAGAUAGAGUCAUGUAUACAGUAUGCCAGUCUUGUAAGUGGCUAUUUAAGCCGAUGUAUCAUUAUGCAUUACUUUACAGAUUUCAUAUGAUUACAGAUUUUACUUGAUUUGAGAAAGACGAAAAGAAUGUUUUUGAAAAGCUUCCAUUAUGCAUUUCAUUUCAUGACUUAAGAGUCCAGUGAGAUUAUGAGUAUAACGAGAACCAGCGGGUUCGCUCGGCUCUAAGUAAGGGUCGGGUGCCCAUCAUGCCCUAUCAGGAUUGGGGUGUGACAAAGUUCUACAUUGCAGCUUCUUACUUUUUUGCAGCAAAACACCUAUGGUAUUGAUUUCUGAAAAUUCAAGAAAUUAGUAGAA